rnacentral:pre_miRNA from 1 species
GGUGCGACCGGACGAAGGUUCACAACGACCGUUUUUUUCUAACAUUGGUCGGUGGGACUUUCGUCCGUUUGUAAC